UGGGGAAUAUUGCACAAUGGGCGCAAGCCUGAUGCAGCCAUGCCGCGUGUAUGAAGAAGGCCUUCGGGUUGUAAAGUACUUUCAGCGAGGAGGAAGGCGUUGUGGUUAAUAACCGCAGCGAUUGACGUUACUCGCAGAAGAAGCACCGGCUAACUCCGUGCCAGCAGCCGGGGUAAUACGGAGGGGGCAAGCGGUAAUCGGAAUUACUGGGUGUAAAGCGCACGCAGGCGGUCUGUCAAGUCGGAUGGGAAAUCCCCGGGCUCAACCUGGGAACUGCAUCCGAAACUGGCAGGCUAGAGUCUUGUAGAGGGGGGUAGAAUUCCAGGUGUAGCGGUGAAAUGCGUAGAGAUCUGGAGGAAUACCGGUGGCGAAGGCGGCCCCCUGGACAAAGACUGACGCUCAGGUGCGAAAGCGUGGGGAGCAAACA
rnacentral:rRNA from 1 species